rnacentral:rRNA from 1 species
GACAGAGGGUGCGAACGUUGUUCGGAAUUACUGGGCGUAAAGCGCGUGUAGGCGGCAGCGCAAGUCGGGCGUGAAAUCCCACGGCUCAACUGUGGAAGUGCACUCGAAACUGCGCAGCUAGAGUCCUGGAGAGGAAGGUGGAAUGCUUGGUGUAGAGGUGAAAUUCGUAGAUAUCAAGCGGAACACCGGUGGCGAAGGCGACCUUCUGGACAGUGACUGACGCUGAGACGCGAAAGCGUGGGGAGCAAACAGG